GAGGCCACCGGACUCUCGCCGCGGGUGCACCUGGCUGGGCGUGGGCCAGCGAGGGGCCCGGCACCCCCAGCCCGCGGGAUGACCUCACCUGUAAAGUGUGCGUAGACACCGCCCUGCAGCCCUCCCUCCCGGCCCAGACACACCACAGAUAACAAGAAUAUCAACAAUUAACAUGUAUUGACCACUUACUAUGUGCUGGGCACGGUAUUAAACCCUUUUUGUGCGUUGGUCUCCCGAUAACUCUACAGGCUAGCCAAUAUUAACCAUCGCUAUCUACCGCUGAGGAAACGAGGUCAUCGGGUACUCAAGGCAGAGCUGGAAGAGCACAUGACUCCUGAUGCUGCUGAUGUUCUGCGCUGUAACAGAGAGGCAGCUGGAGAGGAUCGGAGUGGGCUGAGCCCAGCUGCCUGGGUUGGAGCACCUAGGCUCUGCCACUACCUUCGGCAUGCCACUUACCACCCUGAGCCUCUGUUUUUUCAUCUGUAAAAUGGAGUUGCUAACAAAACAUGUCUCAAAAAGUUGUGGAAAAGCAGUGUCUGGUAUAUUCAAAGUGCUAUUAUUGCUAUUAACAGGCUGUCACGUCUGGGAGUGGUGGCUCACACCUGUAAUCCCAGCACUUUUGGAGGCUGAGGCGCAUGGAUCGCUUGAACCCAGGAGUUCGAGACCAAUCUGGGCAACAUGGUAAAACCCUGUCUCUACAAAAAAUACACAAAAAUUAGCCAGGCGUAGUAGCAGAUACCUGUAGUCCCAGGUACUCGGGUGGCUGAGGUGGGAGGAUCAAUUGAGCCCAGGAGGCAGAGGUUGCAGUGGGCUGAGAUCGCACCACUGCACUCCAGCCUGGGUGACAGAGCAAGACCCUGUCUCAAAAAAUAUAAAAUAAAAAUAAAAUAAAAAACAAGCUGUCACUUGCUCCACUCCUGCCCUAGGAUCUUUUCCUGGGAAACUAGUCUUGUUUCUGGGGUCAGGCAGGGCCUGGCUCUGCAGUUCCCUUAGAGAAGAUGGGGGAGGGCCUGGGAGGUCCUUGGGUGUGAACCUAUGCUCCUGGGUGGCUCCCAUUAUAGGAAUUAGGCCAGAAGGCAGUCACCUGCUCUGCUGCUGAGGAGGUCAGACCCUGUCUGGGCCUCUGUUUUAUUGCCUGUAAAAAGGAACAGCAUUACCUUCCUUACUCCCCUAUCUUUCAUUCAUUCAGCUCAUUUACUGAGUGCCCCUUACGUGCCAGGCACUGUGCUGGGGGACUCCGGGACCACAACAGGAAAGGAAAUAGACAAAGCCCUCACCAGGCCCGUUAGUUUCUAGAAUGGUGGGAGAGGAAAAAUAGUCAAAGAAUCCUACUAAUUGAUACAAAAUUCCAACCGUGGAAAAUAGUUUUGAACUCCAAGGGUGCUAAUUCAGGGGCUGGAGGUAGGGGGAGCAGAAUCAGGAAAGGCCACCUUCCCUGAGAACAGAGCAGCUGAGUGGGUUUCUGGAGGCAGGUCCUGACAGGCCUGAUUCUUGGGAGGAUGGAUGGCUCCAAUUCUGGCCACUGUGACUGUGCCUGGGCCUGUUGGAGCUUGUUAGCUACCCCACCUCCCCUGAGCCAGGAGUCCGAGACUCAGGAUGGGUAGGUGCUGGCUAGAUACUAGUGAACUGAAUAACCUCCCCCUGCAAGCUGCCCCCACCUGUGGUCCCCUAGAGAGAGGAAAUUCCACAUUAAACAUUCAAGCCUCUGGAUUGGCUCCACUCUCCUCCCUCCCCUUCCAACUCCUCCCUACCACUUACACAAAAGCUUGGCCCAGUUAGGUCAGCUGCAGUGAGGGAGGGGUACUUGGCUAAAUCCUUGGAAUUAUUUCUUAGAUAAAGAACUAAGGCUAGGAGAGGCCAAGGUCCCUCAUCA
rnacentral:lncRNA from 1 species